rnacentral:rRNA from 1 species
UACGAAGGUGGCAAGCGUUGUUCGGAUUCACUGGGCGUACAGGGUGUGUAGGCGGUUUGGUAAGCCUUCUGUUAAAGCUUCGGGCCCAAUCCGGAAAGCGUAGAGGGUACUGCCAGGCUAGAGGACGGGAGAGGAGCGCGGAAUUCCCGGUGUAGCGGUGAAAUGCGUAGAGAUCGGGAGGAAGGCCGGUGGCGAAGGCGGCGCUCUGGAACGUUACUGACGCUGAGACACGAAAGCGUGGG